rnacentral:rRNA from 1 species
AAUCAACGCUGGCGGCGCGCUUAACACAUGCAAGUCGAACGAGAAAGGGGAGCAAUCCCUGAGUACAGUGGCGUACGGGUGAGUAACACGUGGAUGAUCUACCUCUUAGUGGGGGAUACCUCUGGGAAACCGGAGACAAUACCGCAUAAGCUCGAGAGAGGAAACCCGCAAGGGGCUGAGAGAGGAGUCCGCGGCCGAUUAGCUAGUUGGUGGGGUAAAGGCCUACCAAGGCAAAGAUCGGUAGCCGGUCUGAGAGGGCACACGGCCACACUGGCUCUGAAACACGGGCCAGACUCCUACGGGAGGCAGCAUUGGGGAAUCUUGCACAAUGGGGGAAACCCUGAUGCAGCGACGCCGCUUGAGCGAUGAAGCCCUUCGGGGUGUAAAGCUCUUUCUA